rnacentral:rRNA from 1 species
CCUACGGGUGGCUGCAGUGGGGAAUAUUGGACAAUGGGCGAAAGCCUGAUCCAGCCAUGCCGCGUGUGUGAAGAAGGCCUUCGGGUUGUAAAGCACUUUCAGUGGGGAAGAAAGCCUUGGGGCUACUACCCUCGAGGAAGGACAUCACCCACAGAAGAAGCACCGGCUAACUCCGUGCCAGCAGCCGCGGUAAUACGGAGGGUGCGAGCGUUAAUCGGAAUUACUGGGCGUAAAGCGCGCGUAGGCGGUCUGAUAAGCCGGUUGUGAAAGCCCCGGGCUCAACCUGGGAACGGCAUCCGGAACUGUCAGGCUAGAGUGCAGGAGAGGAAGGUAGAAUUCCCGGUGUAGCGGUGAAAUGCGUAGAGAUCGGGAGGAAUACCAGUGGCGAAGGCGGCCUUCUGGACUGACACUGACGCUGAGGUGCGAAAGCGUGGGUAGCAAACAGGAUUAGAUACCCUAGUAGUC